AUUGAACGCUGGCGGCAGGCCUAACACAUGCAAGUCGAGCGGAGCGGCGGACGGGUGAGUAAUGCCUAGGAAUCUGCCUGGUAGUGGGGGAUAACGUCCGGAAAAGGGCGCUAAUACCGCAUACUAUUAGAUGAGCCUAGGUCGGAUUAGCUAGUUGGGGGGGUAAAGGCCUACCAAGGCGACGAUCCGUAACUGGUCUGAGAGGAUGAUCAGGCAAACGGGAACGGAGAAAGGGUCCAGAUUCCUACGGGGGGCAGCGGGGGGGAAUAUGGGGCAAUGGGCGAAAGCCUGACCCAGCCAUGCCGGGGGUGGGAAGAAGGUCUUCGGAUGGUAAAGCACUUUAAGUGGGGAGGCGUUACCAACAGAUUAAGCACCGGCUAACUUCGUGCCAGCAGCCGCGGUAUUC
rnacentral:rRNA from 1 species